rnacentral:tRNA from 1 species
GCCCUUUUAACUCAGGGGUAGAUUUUAACUCAGGGGUAGAGUAACGCCAUGGUAAGGCGUAAGUCAUCGGUUCAAGCCCGAUAAAGGGCU